rnacentral:rRNA from 1 species
GAAUCCCGUCUUUGACACGGACUGCCUGCAUGUUAUGGUGCGCUCUCAAAUAGUCGAGUUGUUUGGGAAUGCAGCUCAAAAUGGGUGGUAAAUGCCAUCUAAAGCUAAAUAUUGGCGAGAGACCGAUAGCGAACAAGUACCGUGAGGGAAAGAUGAAAAGAACUUUGGAAAGAGAGUUAAACAGUACGUGAAAUUGCUGAAAGGGAAACGCUUGAAGUCAGUCGCGUCGGCUAGAAAUCAACCUUGCUUUUGCUUGGUGUACUUUCUUGUUGAUGGGUCAGCAUCAAUUUUGACCGUUGGAUAAAGUCGUUGGGAAUGUGGCAUCUUAGGAUGUGUUAUAGCCCAUCGUCGCAUACAGCGGUUGGGAUUGAGGAACUCAGCACGCCCUUCUGGGGACGGGUUUCGACCACGUUUCGUGCUUAGGAUGCUGGCAUAAUGGCUUUAAUCGACCCGUCUUGAAACACGGACCAAGGAGUCUAACAUGCCUGCGAGUGUUCGGGUGGAAAACCCGUGCGCGCAAUGAAAGUGAAAGUUGGGACCUCUGUCGUGGAGGGCACCGACGCCCGGACCAGACCUUCUGUGACGGUUCUGCGGUAGAGCAUGUAUGUUAGGACCCGAAAGAUGGUGAACUAUGCCUGAAUAGGGUGAAGCCAGAGGAAACCCUGGUGGAGGCUCGUAGCGAUUCUGACGUGCAAAUCGAUCGUCAAAUUUGGGUAUAGGGGCGAAAGACUAAUCGAACCAUCUAGUAGCUGGUUCCUGCC